rnacentral:lncRNA from 1 species
CCUUCUUAAUAACUAAAUAUACAAGCAUAAAAUGGUAUAAUUUCAUGUCGUGAAGCAGGACGGGACAAACAAUUACCAUAACCGCUCCAUACCUAUUGUACAAAAAUAAACUCACCCUGUCUUUCCCUACAUCUACUUUUUAAAAGAAAAAUCCACUCCUUUCAAUGUGGAUCUAUUUGAAAUAUAUUAGGUGGAUUGAGUUUUGUUAUCCCUAGCCAUGAACACCAGACAUGAACUGUAAAACAAAUAUGGAGGAUAUAAAAAAAUCCAUCAAGCAGAUGUUGCUAAAUCCAACAUCACUCCACAAUUGGCACGCUCUACUCCAUCACUCGCUUUACUCCACUAUGGAUGUAUAGUCUUAAAAAUCCACUAUCACCUCUAUGGAUGUUACCAACCCCAUCUCGCUUUACUUCAAUUUAAUUUUUUUACUACUUAUCUUUAAUAUUAUCAAUCUUUUUAAAGGCAAGUAGAUAUUUUUUUGAAUAAAAAUUGGCCUUUAUUGAAAAGAGAGAAAGCCACCUCAAGAACUACAACCCACAGUAAAUAACUAAAACACUCUCUCCUAAAAAUACAACCAGCCAAAUGAAUGGCCCUCAUUUAAUAAACUAAGUAAAACCAAAGGGAACCAUAAACACAUCUUUCCAAAAAGAAAAUAAAGUAGUGAGAAAACCUUGAGUAUCCUAACUUUAGUCAAGUGGAUCUACCCACUAGCGAUCGUUUUUUAUCUCAACCUUAGUGAAAUUCGGCAACUCUUCCACCUAGUAUCUAUUCUCGUUGAAAUCGAAGCCUUUGGUGGCCAGCUAAUGUGCCACAAGGUUAUUGAUCCUACUGCAAAAUUUGAACCGACAAGCACCAAAACGAACUGCAGUUUGCUUCCCAUCAACAAUAUAACUGCUAAUAAUCAAUCAGCCCAUUUGGGUAUCUAUGAGUCUUCUAAUAAUCGUGCUUGCAUCUCCUUCAAUCUCCACCGAUUGGAAACCUAUGUCCUCAACAAACUAAAUGGUUUGGAUGCAAGCAAGGGCUUUAGUUGAAAAGGCUUCAGUUGAAAAAGCUUUAGGUAUGCUCUUGGUCACCAUUACUGUCGACCCUAAUAUUAAAUCAUCAUUGUUCCGGAUAACGAUACAUGAUCG